rnacentral:rRNA from 1 species
AUUGAACGCUGGCGGCAUGCUUUGCACAUGCAAGUCGAACGGUAACAGGCCGCAAGGUGCUGACGAGUGGCGAACGGGUGAGUAAUGCAUCGGAACGUGCCCAGUCGUGGGGGAUAACGCAGCGAAAGCUGCGCUAACACCGCAUACGAUCUCUGGAUGAAAGCGGGGGACCGAAAGGCCUCGCGCGAUUGGAUCGGCCGAUGUCAGAUUAGGUAGUUGGGGGGGUAAAGGCCCACCAAGCCAACGAUCUGUAUCUGGUCUGAGAGGACGACCAGCCACACUGGGACUGAGAAACGGCCCAGACUCCUACGGGAGGCAGCAGUGGGGAAUUUUGGACAAUGGGCGCAAGCCUGAUCCAGCAAUGCCGCGUGCAGGAAGAAGGCCUUCGGGUUGUAAACUGCUUUUGUACGGAACGAAACGGUCCGGGUUAAUACCCUGGGCUAAUGACGGUACCGUAAGAAUAAGCACCGGCUAACUACGUGCCAGCCGCCGCCGUAACAC